CCUGCCCUAGACUCUGGGAUAAGCGCUGGAAACGGUGUCUAAUACUGGAUAUGAGACGUGAUCGCAUGGUCGUGUUUGGAAAGAUUUUUCGGUCUGGGAUGGGCUCGCGGCCUAUCAGCUUGUUGGUGAGGUAAUGGCUCACCAAGGCGUCGACGGGUAGCCGGCCUGAGAGGGUGACCGGCCACACUGGGACUGAGACACGGCCCAGACUCCUACGGGAGGCAGCAGUGGGGAAUAUUGCACAAUGGGCGAAAGCCUGAUGCAGCAACGCCGCGUGAGGGAUGACGGCCUUCGGGUUGUAAACCUCUUUUAGCAGGGAAGAAGCGAAAGUGACGGUACCUGCAGAAAAAGCGCCGGCUAACUACGUGCCAGCAGCCGCGGUAAUACGUAGGGCGCAAGCGUUAUCCGGAAUUAUUGGGCGUAAAGAGCUCGUAGGCGGUUUGUCGCGUCUGCUGUGAAUCCCGAGGCUCAACCUCGGGCCUGCAGUGGGUACGGGCAGACUAGAGUGCGGUAGGGGAGAUUGGAAUUCCUGGUGUAGCGGUGGAAUGCGCAGAUAUCAGGAGGAACACCGAUGGCGAAGGCAGAUCUCUGGG
rnacentral:rRNA from 1 species